UGUUGUUCAGUUGCUAAGCUAUGUCCAACUCUUUGUGACCCUAUGGAUGCAGUAUGCUAGACUUCCCUGUUGUUCAAUAUCUCCCAGAUUUUGCUCAAACCCAUGUCCAUUGAGUCAUUGAUGCCAUUCAACCAUCUCAUCCUCUGUCAUCCCCUUCUCCUCCUGCAAUCAAUCUUUCCCAACAUCAGGGUCUUUUCAAAUG